UAAAACGGGAGGCAGCAGUAGGGAAUCUUCCGCAAUGGACGAAAGUCUGACGGAGCAACGCCGCGUGAACGAUGAAGGCCUUCGGGUCGUAAAGUUCUGUUGUUAGGGAAGAACAAGUACCAGAGUAACUGCUGGUACCUUGACGGUACCUAACCAGAAAGCCACGGCUAACUACGUGCCAGCAGCCGCGGUAAUACGUAGGUGGCAAGCGUUGUCCGGAAUUAUUGGGCGUAAAGCGCGCGCAGGUGGUUUCUUAAGUCUGAUGUGAAAGCCCACGGCUCAACCGUGGAGGGUCAUUGGAAACUGGGGAACUUGAGUGCAAAAGAGGAAAGUGGAAUUCCAAGUGUAACGGUGAAAUGCCUAGAGAUUUGGAGGAACACCAGUGGCGAAGGCGACUUUCUGGUCUGUAACUGACACUGAGGCGCGAAAGCGUGGGGAGCGAACAGGAUUAGAUACCCUGGUAGUCCACGCCGUAAACGAUGAGUGCUAAGUGUUAGAAGGUUUCCGCCCUUUAGUGCUGCAGCAAACGCAUUAAGCAC
rnacentral:rRNA from 1 species